CAAAUCUCAAAAAGACCGUCCCAGUUCGGAUCGCAGGCUGCAACUCGCCUGCAUGAAGUCGGAAUUGCUAGUAAUCGUAGGUCAGCAUACUACGGUGAAUACGUUCCCGGGCCUUGUACACACCGCCCGUCAAACCAUGAGAGUUGGCAACACCCGAAGUCGGUAGUCUAACCGCAAGGAGGGCGCCGCCGAAGGUGGGGUUGAUGAUUAGGGUUAAGUCGUAACAAGGUAUC
rnacentral:rRNA from 1 species